AACGCACAUUGCGCCCGCCAGUAUUCUGGCGGGCAUGCCUGUUCGAGCGUCAUUUCAACCCUCAGGCCCCCAGUGCCUGGUGUUGGGGAUCGGCGUCGGGCGAACGGUGCACUCCUCCGGGAGCCGCGCCGUCCUGCCUGCCGGCCCCGAAAUUCAGUGGCGGUCUCGCUGUAGUCCCCCUCUGCGUAGUAGCACAACUCGCAUUGGAGCUCGGCGGUGGCCAUGCCGUAAAACACCCCACUUCUGAAAGUUGACCUCGGAUCAGGUAGGAAUACCCGCUGAACUUAA
rnacentral:misc_RNA from 1 species